GACGAUCGCUGGCGGCGUGCUUAACACAUGCAAGUCGAACGGAAAGGCCCUGCUUUUGUGGGGUGCUCGAGUGGCGAACGGGUGAGUAACACGUGAGUAACCUGCCCUUGACUUUGGGAUAACUUCAGGAAACUGGGGCUAAUACCGGAUAGGAGCUCCUGCUGCAUGGUGGGGGUUGGAAAGUUUCGGCGGUUGGGGAUGGACUCGCGGCUUAUCAGCUUGUUGGUGGGGUAGUGGCUUACCAAGGCUUUGACGGGUAGCCGGCCUGAGAGGGUGACCGGUCACAUUGGGACUGAGAUACGGCCCAGACUCCUACGGGAGGCAGCAGUGGGGAAUAUUGCACAAUGGGCGGAAGCCUGAUGCAGCAACGCCGCGUGCGGGAUGACGGCCUUCGGGUUGUAAACCGCUUUCGCCUGUGACGAAGCGUGAGUGACGGUAAUGGGUAAAGAAGCACCGGCUAACUACGUG
rnacentral:rRNA from 1 species